rnacentral:rRNA from 1 species
GAAUAUUGGACAAUGGGGGGAACCCUGAUCCAGCCAUGCCGCGUGUGUGAAGAAGGCCUUUUGGUUGUAAAGCACUUUAAGCGAGGAGGCGGAUCUCUUGGUUAAUACCUAGAGAUAGUGGACGGUACACGCAGAAUAAGACCCGGCGAACUCUUUGCCAGACGACGCGGUAAUACCGAGGGUGCAAGCGUUAAUCGGAUUUACUGGGCGUAAAGCGCGCGUAGGUGGCCAAUUAAGUCAAAUGUGAAAUCCCCGAGCUUAACUUGUGAAUUGCAUUCGAUACUGGUUGGCUAGAGUAUGGGAGAGGAUGGUAGAAUUCCAGGUGUAGCGGUGAAAUGCGUAGAGAUCUGGAGGAAUACCGAUGGCGAAGGCAGCCAUCUGGCCUAAUACUGACACUGAGGUGCGAAAGCAUGGGGAGCAAAC